AACUCGUCGCCGUUUUCAUCUCCGAUCUCAUCUCCAAUCUCCUCUCCGAUCUCAUCUUCAAGGCCAAGAUCUCAUCUCCAAUCUCAUCACUGAAUCUCGUUGGUUUCAGGGUUUGCUCCACCUAUCUCUUCUCACGAUAUCUGAUCAAAUAAGGAGGUUCCAUCUUUCAUACUAGAGAUCGAAAGACCCCUCCCUUGAUUUCAGGGCAUAUAAAGACUUAAAUAGGAGAAUGCGGUCAAGAUGGCUUUGAUAUAUGAAUCUUUUGGAACAGACUUGUACUUUUGAAUUGCUCAUAUUUUGAUGGUUGUGAAUUGAUCAUAUUUUGAUGGGUUGAAGUUACCGUGUAACUACUUAUUUUUGAAUGAUGGGCUUAAAA